CUCGUGUGUUCCGAGAAGGUGACCUUGUGUUCAAGAAGGUCUUGUCUUUCGCGCCCGAUUCCAGGGGCAAGUGAACCCCCAAGCUAUGAAUGUCCAUACGUUGUCAAGAGAGCCUUUUCAGGCAAUGUUUUGACACUUACAACAAUGGAUGGAGAAGUUCACUCGUCCUGUGAAUCCCGAUGCAGUCAAGAAAUACUUCGCCUAAGACAAAAAAGCAAAAGCUCGCUAAGUCGAACACCCCAAAAGGCGACUUAGGCAAAAAGGAGCGUCU
rnacentral:lncRNA from 1 species